GACGAACCGUGCGAACGUUGUUCGGAAUCACUGGGCUUAAAGGGCGCGUAGGCGGGCUAACAAGUCUGGGGUGAAAUGCCGCGGCUCAACCGUGGAACUGCCUCAGAUACUGUCGGCCUCGAGGAAGGUAGGGGCAUGCGGAACUGUAGGUGGAGCGGUGAAAUGCGUUGAGAUGACUUGGAACACCAAUGGCGAAAGCACUUGUCUGGACGGAGACUGACGCUGAGAUACGAAAGCCAAGGGAGCGAACAGG
rnacentral:rRNA from 1 species